rnacentral:rRNA from 1 species
UGGCUCAGAACGAACGCUGGCGGCAUGCCUUACACAUGCAAGUCGAACGGCAGCACGGGUGCUUGCACCUGGUGGCGAGUGGCGAACGGGUGAGUAAUAUAUCGGAACGUACCUUAUUGUGGGGGAUAACGCAGCGAAAGCUGUGCUAAUACCGCAUAAUCCCUAAGGGGGAAAGCAGGGGACCGUAAGGCCUUGCGCAAUUAGAGCGGCCGAUACCUGAUUAGCUAGUUGGUGAGGUAAAGGCUCGGCAAGGCAACGAUCAGUAGCUGGUCUGAGAGGACGAUCAGCCACAUUUCCACUGAGACACGGACCCAGACUCCUACG